GGAGAGUUGGCAGAGAGGCCGAUUGCGGCGGUCUUGAAAACCGUUGAACGUUUACACCGUUCCGGGGGUUCGAAUCCCUCACUCUCCG
rnacentral:tRNA from 1 species